GGCCACUUGAAGAUGCCAUUGAAGAUGAGGAAGAAGAAUGUCCAUCAGAGGAAACAGACAUCAUCUCCAAAGGAGACUUUCCAUUGGAGGAAAGCUUUUCCACAGAAUUUGGGCCUGAAAAUCUGAGCUGUGAAGAAGUGGAAUACUUUUGUAACAAAGGUGAUGAUGGAGGAAUCCAGGAGACAGCAGAAUCAGAUGGGGACUCACAGUCAGAAAAACCGGGGCAACCUGGAGUUGAGACAGAUGACUGGGAUGGACCAGACAUGCAGGAGAAUGCCUUGUGGAGAUAAAGGCAGAGACCCCAGUGAUACUUCUACAUGCCAAGGAAAGCUAAAGAUUGCCCGUAAACCACCAGAAGCUAGAGGAGAGAGGCAUGGAACAGAUACUUCCUCAUAGCCCUCAGAGGGAACCAAUCCUGUUGACACCUUGAUCUUGGACUUCUAACCUCCAGAACUGUGAAACAAUGAA
rnacentral:sRNA from 1 species